UACGUAGGGUGCAAGCGUUGUCCGGAAUUAUUGGGCGUAAAGAGCUUGUAGGCGGUUUGUCGCGUCUGCUGUGAAAUUUCGGGGCUCAACCCCGAACUUGCAGUGGGUACGGGCAGACUAGAGUGUGGUAGGGGAGACUGGAAUUCCUGGUGUAGCGGUGAAAUGCGCAGAUAUCAGGAGGAACACCGAUGGCGAAGGCAGGUCUCUGGGCCAUAACUGACGCUGAGAGGCGAAAGCAUGGGGAGCGAACAGG
rnacentral:rRNA from 1 species